rnacentral:lncRNA from 1 species
AUCACAGGGGGCCAGGAAAGACUCCCUCCAGGACCAGCCAAGGUUGCAUUUAUGUGCGUGUAAAACAUUGGCUGCUGGCAGGGACAGGCAUGAAGCGUUAGAGUUACUAAGCUGAGCUUUGCAUGUGGCAAACUCUCAAUUUCCAGCCUUGUAGGCAGGUUUGCUUCUUUUACUAGACUGAGAUGGAGCUUCAGAGUCACCUAAGCUUUUGUUCCAGGAUUCUCCUUUCAUCUUAGCCCUCCUCGUGGGCACGACAGGCUGUCAACCACUCCUCUGGAGCUGCCUCACGCUUUCUGGUCUCCUGGUGUGCCUUCGGCCACCUUCUUCUCAACUUCAUCAUUUGAUCGUAAAUAGCAGCAGGUAGCACAGGACACGUCAUAUAUUUAACAGCUGGACAAAUGAACGAUUUUCAUCAAUAACUUGGCCAUCCUCCUGCUCUAUCUCCAGUCACUGCCGUUCCUUUUGGUCUCCAGACACUGACCCAAUCUCUGCUUGGCUCUGGCCCUUGGCUGUGUCCAGUCCUGUACGAUACUUCAGUUUCUAACUCUUUUGACCCUAACAUGCGUUUUUUAAAGCCAUAGAACCAGUUAAGCUCUCUGAAUCGCACCUUAAAACAUUUACAUAUAUUUGUUAGCAGCAAUCAUAUCUUGAAGUCAUCAGUUUUUUUUUACCAACUAAUACUCAUUCAGAUGUUUUUUUUUUUUUUGGCUUCAAGGUGAACAGCAGCAUCUGCCACAGUAAACACAGGACCUGCAGUGAUAUUCAGGUAUUGGAGAAGUACCGCCAAAGGAUUGCCAGGAGCAGCAAAAGUACAGAGGAGACAAGUUGCCAUCUCCUAAAGAGUCCCUUGCAACAAGGCAAGAAUUUUCCUUCCAUCAUCUGGAAAUUUCAAAUGCNNNNNNNNNNNNNNNNNNNNNNNNNNNNNNNNAGGCAUUUUCUCUUUACCAUCCAAAGCAAGAGUUGCAAAGGUUUUA